GCUCGCCGCCGCGGCCAUCGCCCACCGCGCCCUGCACCUGCAUCAGCUCAGCGGCGGCGUGGCCCGCAACGCCGCCAUGGUUGCGGCGGACCUGACGCUCCUGUUCCUGUGGACGCUGUCGCAGUCGGGCCUGUGGCGGCCCGUCUCGCGCGCCGCGUUCCCGGACCGGCUGCUGGAGUCCCGGCGGCGCGGGGACCUCCCGGCCGUGGACGUGCUGGUGGUGACGGCGGACCCAGACAAGGAGCCAGCGUUGGGGGUGAUGAACACGGUGGUGUCGGCCAUGGCGCUGGACUACCACGGCGGGAGGCUGAGCGUGUACCUAUCGGACGAUGCCGGGUCGCCGCUGACGCUGAUGGCCGCCCGCAAGGCCUACGCCUUCGC
rnacentral:lncRNA from 1 species